rnacentral:rRNA from 1 species
GAUGAACGCUGGCGGCGUGCCUAAUACAUGCAAGUCGAGCGAACAGACGAGGAGCUUGCUCCUCUGACGUUAGCGGCGGACGGGUGAGUAACACGUGGGUAACCUACCUAUAAGACUGGAAUAACUUCGGGAAACCGGAGCUAAUACCGGAUAAUAUAUUGAACCGCAUGGUUCUAUAGUGAAAGACGGUUUUGCUGUCACUUAUAGAUGGAUCCGCGCCGCAUUAGCUAGUUGGUAAGGUAACGGCUUACCAAGGCAACGAUACGUAGCCGACCUGAGAGGGUGAUCGGCCACACUGGAACUGAGACACGGUCCAGACUCCUACGGGAGGCAGCAGUAGGGAAUCUUCCGCAAUGGGCGAAAGCCUGACGGAGCAACGCCGCGUGAGUGAUGAAGGUCUUCGGAUCGUAAAACUCUGUUAUUAGGGAAGAACAAAUGUGUAAGUAACUAUGCACGUCUUGACGGUACCUAAUCAGAAAGCCACGGCUAACUACGUG